rnacentral:rRNA from 1 species
ACUCAAAUGAAUUGACGGGGGCUCACACAAGCGGUGGAGCAUGUUGCUUAAUUCGAGGCAACGCGAAGAACCUUACCUGGGUUUGACAUGCUUGGAUUAACUCCUUGAAAGAGGAGCCACACCCUCUGGGUGGAACAAGCACAGGUGCUGCAUGGCUGUCGUCAGCUCGUGCUGUGAAGCGUCGGGUUAAGUCCUAUAACGAGCGCAACCCCUGUCGCUAGUUGCUCGGUUCGCCAGUACUCUAGCGAGACUGCCGGUGUCAAACCGGAGGAAGGUGGGGAUGACGUCAAGUCCUCAUGGCCCUUACAUCCAGGGUUGCAAACGUGCUACAAUGGUGCAUACAAAGCGACGCAAGAUCGCAAGAUGGAGCAAAUCGCAAAAAAUGCACCCCAGUUCGGAUUGUCGGCUGCAAUUCGCCGGCAUGAAGUCGGAAUCGCUAGUAAUCGGAGAUCAGCUACGCUCCGGUGAAUGUGUUCCUGAGCCUUGUACACACCGCCCGU